UACGUAGGUGGCAAGCGUUGUCCGGAUUUACUGGGCGUAAAGAGCGCGCAGGCGGUUGGAUAAGUCGAAUGUGAAAGCCCCCGGCUCAACUGGGGAGGGUCAUUCGAUACUGUCCGACUCGAAGGCAGGAGAGGGAAGCGGAAUUCCCGGUGUAGUGGUGAAAUGCGUAGAUAUCGGGAGGAACACCGAUGGCGAAGGCAGGUCUCUGGGCCAUAACUGACGCUGAGAAGCGAAAGCAUGGGGAGCGAACAGG
rnacentral:rRNA from 1 species